rnacentral:rRNA from 1 species
GAUGAACGCUAGCGGCGGGCCUAAUACAUGCAAGUCGAACGGUGCAGCAAUGCAUAGUGGCAGACGGGUGCGUAACGCGUAUGCAACCUACCUUUUAUCGGGGGGACAACAUUUCGAAAGAAGUGCUAAUACCGCGUAAGAUAGUAGUGGGACAUCCCACAGCUAUUAAACUUUCGGGGAUAGAAGAUGGGCAUGCGUCUGAUUAGCUAGUUGGCGGGGUAACGGCCCACCAAGGCGACGAUCAGUAGGGGAACUGAGAGGUUGAUCCCCCACACUGGCACUGAGAUACGGGCCAGACUCCUACGGGAGGCAGCAGUAGGGAAUAUUGGACAAUGGGCGAAAGCCUGAUCCAGCAAUGCCGCGUGAGUGAUGAAGGCCUUAGGGUUGUAAAGCUCUUUUACCCGGGAUGAUAAUGACAGUACCGGGAGAAUAAGCUCCGGCUAACUCCGUGCCAGCAGCCGCGGUAAU